GACGAACGCUGGCGGCGUGCUUAACACAUGCAAGUCGAACGGAAAGGCCCUGCUUUUGUGGGGUGCUCGAGUGGCGAAAGGGUGAGUAACACGUGAGUAACCUGCCCUUGACUUUGGGAUAACUUCAGGAAACUGGGGCUAAUACCGGAUAGGAGCUCCUGCUGCAUGGUGGGGGUUGGAAAGUUUCGGCGGUUGGGGAUGGACCCGCGGCUUAUCAGCUUGUUGGUGGGGUAGUGGCUUACCAAGGCUUUGACGGGUCGCCGGCCUGAGAGGGUGACCGGCCACAUUGGGACUGAGAUACGGCCCAGACUCCUACGUGAGGCAGCAGUGGGGAAUAUUGCACAAUGGGCGGAAGCCUGAUGCAGCAACGCCGCGUGCGGGAUGACGGCCUUCGGGUUGUAAACCGCUUUCGCCUGUGACGAAGCGUGAGUGACGGUAAUGGGUAAAGAAGCACCGGCUAACUACGUG
rnacentral:rRNA from 1 species